rnacentral:misc_RNA from 1 species
AAGACUAUAGACCUGCGGAGUACCUGCGGAGGGAUCAUUACAAAAUCAACGGGCGUCCCCCCCGCGGGGGCGCCCUGGCAGCUAGGGGGCAACCCCUAACUGUUAACCCUUUGUGAAAACCCCCUGUUGCCUCGGCGGCACUCCCUGCCGCGCCGGCGUCAUGCGCCGCGCGCUGGGGGGGAGGUCAGCCCGCCGGCGGCACCCAACCAAAACCCAUAACCAUUUUGAAGAAGCUGUCUG